rnacentral:rRNA from 1 species
GACGAACGCUGGCGGCGUGCUUAACACAUGCAAGUCGAACGAAGUGGCGAACGGGUGAGUAAUACGUGAGUAACUGCCCUCCUUUUUGGGAUAACAGUUGGAAACGGCUGCUAAUACCGGAUAGUGGGGGAUGACUCGCGUCCUAUCAGCUUGUUGGGGGGGUAGUGGCCUACCAAGGCGACGACGGGUAGCCGGCCUGGGAGGGCGACCGGGCACAUUGGGCUGAGAUACGGCCCAAACUGCUACGGGGGGCAACGGUGGGAAGUAUUGCGCAGUGGGGGAAACCCUGAUGCAGCAGCGCCGCGUGCGGAAUGUCGGCCUUCGGGUUGGAAACCGCUUUCGGCCAUGACGCGGUAGUGGCAGAAGAAGCACCGGCUAACUACGUGCCAGCAGCCGCGGUAAUUC